GACGAACGCUGGCGGCGUGCUUAACACAUGCAAGUCGAACGGAAAGGCCCUGCUUUUGUGGGGUGCUCGAGUGGCGAACGGGUGAGUAACACGUGAGUAACCUGCCCUUGACUUUGGGAUAACUUCAGGAAACUGGGGCUAAUACCGGAUAGGAGCUCCUGCUGCAUGGUGGGGGUUGGAAAGUUUCGGCGGUUGGGGAUGGACUCGCGGCUUAUCAGCUUGUUGGUGGGGUAGUGGCUUACCAAGGCUUUGACGGGUCGCCGGCCUGAGAGGGUGACCGGCCACAUUGGGACUGAGAUACGGCCCAGACUCCUACGGGAGGCAGCAGUGGGGAAUAUUGCACAAUGGGCGGAAGCCUGAUGCAGCAACGCCGCGUGCGGGAUGACGGCCUUCGGGUUGUAAACCGCUUUCGCCUGUGACGAAGCGUGAGUGACGGUAAUGGGUAAAGAAGCACCGGCUCUCUACGUC
rnacentral:rRNA from 1 species